UGCGAGUCGAGCGUCUCUAGCUAUGUUGAGACGCGGCAGACGGCUCAGUAACACGUGGCUAACCUACCCUCAGGACAGGGACAAACCCGGGAAACUGGGGCUAAUACCCGAUAGGCGAGGAUGCCUGGAAUGGUUUCUCGCUCAAAGGUCUUGGAAACAUGCUUUCAAGUCGCCUGGGGAUGGGGCCGCGUCCGAUCAGGUUGUUGGUGAGGUAAUGGGUCACCAAGCCUAUAACCGGUACGGGCCGUGAGAGCGGGAGCCCGGAGAUGGGUACUGAGACAAGGACCCAGGCCCUACGGGGCGCACCAGUCGCGAAAACUCCGCAAUGCGCGAAAGUGUGACGGGGCUACCCCGAGUGCUCUCCGCUGAGGAAAGCUUUUCUCUGGUGUAACUAGCCAGGGGAAUAAGGAGAGGGCAAGACUGGUGUCAGCCGCCGCGGUAAUACCAGCUCUCCGAGUGGUAGGGAUGAUUAUUGGGCUUAAAGCGUCCGUAGCCGGCUUAGCAAGUUUCCUGUUAAAUUCAGCGACCUAAUCGUUGAGCCGCGGGAAAUACUACUAGGCUAGGAGGCGGGAGAGGUCAACGGUACUUCCGGGGUAGGGGUGAAAUCCUAUAAUCUCGGGAGGACCACCAGUGGCGAAGGCUGUUGACUAGAACGCGCUCGACGGUGAGGGACGAAAGCUGGGGGAGCGAACCGGAUUAUAUACCCGGGUAGUCCCAGCUGUAAACGAUGCGAGCUAGGUGUUGGGGUGGCUACGUGCCACUUCAGUGCCGCAGGGGAAGCCAUAAUGCUCGCCGCCUGGGGAGUACGGCCGCAAGGCUGAAACUUCA
rnacentral:rRNA from 1 species